rnacentral:rRNA from 1 species
AUUGAACGCUGGCGGCAGGCCUAACACAUGCAAGUCGAACGAGUGGCGGACGGGUGAGUAAUGUCUGGGAAACUGCCCGAUGGAGGGGGAUAACUACCGGACACGGUAGCUAAUACCGCAUACCUUCGGAUGUGCCCAGAUGGGAUUAGCUAGUAGUGGGGGUAACGGCUCACCUAGGCGACGAUCCCUAGCUGGUCUGAGAGGAUGACCAGCCACACUGGCACUGCGACACGGUCCUGACGCCGACGGGAGGCAGCAGUGGGGAAUAUUGCACGAGGGGCUCAAACCUGAUGUGGCCAUGCCGCGUGUAUGAAGAAGGCCUUCGGGUUAUGAAGUUCUUUCAGCGAGGAGGCGUUGCUCGCAGAAGGAGCACCGGCUAACUCCGUGCCAGCAGCCGCGGUAAUUC